AGCCUGUUAGAAUAUAAAAGCCGCCUCUCCCCUCAGUCUUCCUACAUAUCUUCUGGCUGAAUGCUACGUGGAAGAAGAGUAGAAACAGAUCCACCUGAAGUAUGGUUCAACAGUAUAAACACUUUAUUACACAUCACACCUGUUUUUUUUUUCAUGUAGUUUCUAGAGAUCAAAACAGCAGACUCCAGCAGGCAACAUGCGUUUAUUUCAUAUAUUAUACAGACAUCUCUGUGUGGAGACAGGAAGGGGACUAGGGCAGACCUGGAAUCAUUGUAUUUAUAGAGAAGAGGAGGGAGAAGGCAGAGCAGGGGGGGAAGAGAGACAGAGAGAGAGAGAGAGAGAGAGAGUGUGAGAGAGAGAUUAGAUCAUUUCCUUAAUACAGAAAAAUCAAAAGAAUUUAAGACAUGUAAAAAUCCAGAUGGAAUAGUAAAAUUAAAGUUCUUACACACAUACACUCAAAACAAAACAAAAAAAUAUAUUAACAAAAAAAAAAAAAAAA